rnacentral:lncRNA from 9 species
CUCAGCUCUGACUUCAAACUCUGUCCUUUUUACCACCCCACACAUGAAGUCCCAGUCACAGAAUGUAAGGGCCACAGUGCUCCUCCGGCAGCGGCAAUAAGUAACACAACAUUCAAACUGAACUGUGGGAACUGACUGACAUGGCAAACGGCAGAGAGAGACGCCCUAGCUUCAAUGAAGUUGAAGCUUUGCAAGCAAACCAGAAACCUCAGAAAGGCCUGUGCUAAACCGAAGAGCUUCCAACCUCAGCAUUACAUAAAAAAUCUCACAGAAACUUGUAAACAGUAGUAGUUUCUCGAACAUAUUCUAGAUCAAAAUUUUAGAUAGG